GACGAACGCUGGCGGCGUGCUUAACACAUGCAAGUCGAACGGUGAAGGGACCAGCUUGCUGGUUCUGGAUGAGUGGCGAACGGGUGAGUAACACGUGAGUAACCUGCCCCCUUCUUCUGGAUAACCGCAUGAAAGUGUGGCUAAUACGGGAUAUUCUGGGUCUGUCGCAUGGCGGGCCCGGGAAAGAUAUUGCUUCGGUGGGGGAUGGGCUCGCGGCCUAUCAGCUUGUUGGUGGGGUGAUGGCCUACCAAGGCGGUGACGGGUAGCCGGCCUGGGAGGGUGGACGGUCCGAAUGGGACUGAGACCCAGCCCCGAAUGCUACGGGAGGCAGCAGUGGGGAAUAUUGCACAAUGGGCGCAAGCCUGAUGAAGCGACGCCGCGUGAGGGAUGGAGGCCUUCGGGUUGUAAACCUCUUUCGCCAGUGAAGCAGGCCUGCUCAUUGUGGGUGGGUUGACGGUAGCUGGAUAAGAAGCGCCGGCUAACUACGUG
rnacentral:rRNA from 1 species